UAGGGAAUAUUGCACAAUGGAGGAAACUCUGAUGCAGCGACGCCGCGUGAGUGAUGAAGGCCUUCGGGUCGUAAAGCUCUGUCGCAGGGGAAUAACACAAUGAAGGUACCCUGUAAGAAAGGAUCGGCUAACUUCGUGCCAGCAGCCGCGGUAAGACGAGGGAUCCUAGCGUUGUUCGGAAUCAUUGGGCGUAAAGCGGGUGCAGGUGGCUAUGUAAGUCAGGUGUGAAAGCCUGGGGCUCAACCCCAGAAGUGCAUUUGAUACUGCGUAGCUUGAGUGCUAGAGAGGUUACUAGAAUUGUUGGUGUAGUGGUGAAAUACGUAGAUAUCAACAGGAAUACCGGUGGCGAAGGCGGGUAACUGGCUAGACACUGACACUCAGACCCGAAAGUGCGGGGAUCAAACAGG
rnacentral:rRNA from 1 species